AUGGAAUGAAGUUGAAAGGAUUUAUGAAUAAAAUUGUUGGCCAUGUAAGCCAUUUUUCUUCACAACCCGGUGAAGACCUGACUUCUACAGCAGUUCAACACGAUUUGAAAGAGGCCUCUGAGGACAAAGGCUAAAAGCAUCUCCUGUGAACUUUAGUACAAUACGUGCCUGUAGGCACCUCUCAUUCUUCACAGGUCACAUUUAAAUGAAGCUUCCACACGGGACCAAGCUUGACAAAAAAGAACAUCUAUACUUUGAGAAAAAGAGUUGGACUGCUUUUUGGUAGGUUCUUUCAAGACGCAGGUGAUGUAAAGGCACUUUGUCAGGUCCGGUUUGUCCUCCAGUUCAGAUUACAUUC